AGUAAUUUAAUGAUUAUAAUCUCUCCAUAAAAUAAUAAAGGACAUAAAUGAAAAAUUCAUUGAUCAUCAAAAUAUAUAAAUUAAGCAAAAUCCAUUAUCUAUCAAUAAAUUAAGCCUCCAAUAUACCAAACCUAACUAAACAACCAAAUCAAACCUCUCAGUUACGCUACAAAUUAAAAUAAAUAAUAAGAUAAGACCCAUUACAAAAUUUGCAAAUACGAGACAAUCUUCCAAUAACAAAUUUCCAAAACUAGACAAAUCAAAGGGGGAAAAAAAGUAAUCUUUUCAAAUUCAAUUAGCCUUUCCAAGCAAAUCCCGAAAUUCUCAUAAAUCCAUCAUCGCCCAUCUCUGUGAAUAAUUUUCAGGUUUCAAUCUUCCAAAUUUAAUUCUUGAAUUUUAUGUCGUUCACAUUGGGCAGCCAUAUUCCUUAAAUUGUCUUAUUAAAUUACUGAGCAA
rnacentral:misc_RNA from 1 species